AUAUAUAUAUAUAAGCUGCCCAACCAUAUAGGUGCGGUGUGAUCAUUAUUAGGCCGCGUCUAGGCCUCCCGCGUCCGGGGUAACCAUCUCAUGCCGCCCACUAGUGGUGUCUGCCUAUGCCAUCUGGACAUGGUGUAUAGGCUGCCCGCCUUAGCAGUGUCUGCCUAGCCAUAUAGGCGCGGUGUAAUAUCAUCAUCAUAUAAUUAUCAUGAAUCAUUCAUAGAAACUCAGGACAAGCUGUAAAUCUAUCGGGGUGACGUAAGGUAGUGAACCCCCCGAUCCCAUUAUGGAAUAUUCAUAAGCAUUCUUCCUCACCUUGAAGCAACUAACAUGAUAAGGUGAGUGUAACAACAAUAAGCCAUAUCAAAGGGGUCAUAUGAGGAUCAUUAGCUUUAUAGCAAUAUCAUAUCAUGAACUUUAGGAUCUUUAAACUUAGGCUAAACAUUGUCAUUAUCAUACUCAUAACAUAUCUCUUAUUUCUAUCUCAUAUGGGGCUCUUCAUGAACAUAGACUCAUAAUUUCCAGAAUGUAAGAAAGUCAUGGAGGAUAGGGAAAGUUAUGUCAUAAGAUUCAUGCCUUAGAAAAGAAGGGACUAGCCUUGCAUACCUUUUCGUUUAGCUACUCUAUCGCUUGAACGUUCCCCUCUAAUAUUCACGUUUCUACCUUCAAGAGAGUUCGUACCAAUAUUAGAUAAUCGAUAACAUAAACACGCUUGAACUAAAGCUAGAGAAAAUUGGGCAGCAUCUCCUUUGUUUGUACAACCUUGUCCAUAUCAUGUAUCAACUCUCAAACAUCAAUAAUAACAUUUAUCAUAUCAUAAUCAACAAUCUUCUUUCACCCUACAUUAUUCAAGUCUCCCAAUUUCCAUUCCAAAUCAUCCAUAACGAUGGCGACAAUACAACAUUACAUUCAUCCUCAUAUAAUGUUUCUCUUAUGUUCUUAAUAUCAUUUGUAACAUAAUUAUAACCACAACAUAUCAAGAAUCAUGAUUCAAAUUAAGCUACUACUCAACAAUGUCACUAUUCUCAUGUUUGUAACCCAUUUUAUAUUUCCCUCCAUAAUUCAAGUCUUUCAACCCCUCAAUACCCUAAAUAGCAUGAAUUGAUCAUAAAAAUUACCUUUGAUUGAGUAGGAAUGGGUUUUGGAUAGCAAUACUCCACUUGAAGAAAACCCUAGCUUCAACCUCCCAAAGAUUCUUGGCUUCAAGCAACCCUAGAGGAUUCCCUUACACUUGAUUUCCUUGGUUUGAUGAAGUUGAUCUUUGAUUUGUCUUGAUUUUAUGUUGAUGAAAUGUGUAGAACCCUCUAGAAGUCUUGAGAGAGAUGGAGAAGUGGAAAGAAUGAUAAAAUGAAAGUGGGAACAAGUAUUUAUACUUGCAACUUAAUUAGCCCGUCGGGACUUAUACGGACCACUUAUACGGUCCGUAUAACAUUGUACGGUCCGUAUAAGUGUAUGUGGUUCACCAUCAUGGAAAACAUCCUUCAUGUUGGGUUAUACGAACCGUAUAAGUGGUCAUAUAACUCCACUUUUCCGAAAUUGUUUCUGUUGUUUCGUUUGAUCUUCAAUCCUUAUGAAACUUCUUAACACAUGUUUAACACUUCAUUAGAAAUCUAAGGAGCAUUAUAGCUUCUUCUUAGGACAUUUAUUAAAUCUCCAUUAGCUCGAUACUUUACUAAACUCUUCCUAACACAACGUAUACUUCACAUUUCUUGAUGAACUUUCUUCUCUUGCCUCGAAUGCCUUUGAAAUCUCAAUUAGAAUCAUUAAGUAACCUUUCUUACUUAUAGAAAUAUCGUAUUCAUCUCACCCCGCGUUAUUCUAUCUAUCAUACGACGUCAUGAAAUUUUCGGAGGUGUAACAAUCACUUUCUCAGACGACGAGUUGCCUGUGGAGGGUACUGGACAUAAUCGUAGCCUUCACAUUACUGUAAAAUGUGAGCGUUCUUACGUCACUCGAGUGUUGAUCGAUGGGAAAUCUAGGGCAAACAUUUGUCCUCUGUCAACUUUGCAAAAACUAAAUGGUAGCGCUGAAAGAAUCCGACCCAAUAAUGUAUGUGUUAGAGCCUUUGACGGAGCGAAAACGGAUGCCAUCGGCGAGAUAGAUCUAGUCCUGACAAUAAGGCCUGUCGACUUUACCAUAGAUUUUCAAGUGUUGAACAUCAAUACUUCUUACAAUAUGUUGUUGGAAGACCAUGGGUACAUAUGGCUGGAGCAGUCCCGUCCACGUUGCAUCAGAUGAUCAAGUUUGAACGUGACAAGCAAGAAGUGAUUGUUCACGGUGAAGGGGAUUUGUCCAUUUACAAAGACUCCAUUGUUCCCUUUAUUGAGGUUGUUAAUGCUGAUGAAGCACUGGUUUAUCAAGCCUCCGAAGUAGUGGUUGCUGAGCAAAUCUCGGAAGGGAAACCCAUUCUGACACCACAAGUGUCUUCAACAUCAGUUAUAGUGGUAAAUGAAAUGCUGAAGCCCUGUUUUGAACCAGGAAAAGGCUUGGGGCCCUCCUUACAAGAUAUGAUUUAUCCAGUGUGUCCACAUGAGAAUCCUGGUCCAUUUGGUUUAGGGUUCAGGCCAAUGGCUGAAGACAGAAAGAGGGCUAAAAAGCGGAAAAAAGAAGCAUGGUCACUUACCAAACCUGUGCCGCCGAUCUACCAAUCUUUUGUCAAAGAUAGUGCCAAUGGGUUUCCCUUGCCAGUGUUAGAUGUGGAUUCAUAACUGAUGGGAUGCUUCCAGAACUUGUUUGUCGAAGCUGAUAUGGUUGAAAUUUUAGAAGGUCCUAGUCAUGCAGAUGUGCAAUUCAUUGGCCCUGGUGUCCAACUCAGCAAUUGGGAAGUCACCCCUCUCCCCACCAGGAAGGAGUUUUGGUAGUCUGUUUUGUUUUCCUUUCUGUUAUUUAAGUUAUUAUGGGGUUGUAACUCAGAUUUUAUCUCGUUUGUUUUUGUUCAAACCCUUCUAUCUUUCCUUUCAAUGAAAUGCAAUUUCCCUUUUUGUUAAUUCUAAUGUGUUUGUUUAUUUUUCUUCUAUACAGUUCUGUUUAUGCCGGUUCUAAUGAUAUGAUAUGCAUGCGAAAUUUUCAGCCAGAUCUUAAAAUCCAAUCUAAUCAUGAAACAAUGAACUAAGAAAUUGAAUAUGAUGAAGAAAAGGUAUUUCAGGAAAUAAGCAGGGAUUUGAUCAAAUUUGAAGAUAAACAAACCCUAAUUUGAAUGAAACCGAAGCAGUCAAUCUGGGAGAUCAAGAUAAUGUCAGUACAACAACAUGGCAGAGUAUGAAGCUUGCAUUUUGGGUUUAAGGUUAGCUAUCAACAUGGGAAUUCAAGAAUUAUUGGUAUUGGGGGAUUUAUACUUGCUAGUCCACCAUGUUCAGGGAGAGUAGGAAACCCGUGAUUUGAAGCUUAUACCAUAUCGACAGUGUUUGCAAGAUCUUUGCAGACGGUUCAUAAUAGUGAAGUUUAAGCACAUGUCCAGGAUUCAUAAUGAGAUUGUUGAUGCCUUGGCCACUUUGUCUUCAAUGCUCCAACACCCAAACAAGGCUCACAUUGACCCUUUACACAUACAAACUCGCAAUCAACAUGCUUAUUGUAACACAGUUGAAGAGGAACUUGAUGGUGAGCCUUGGUUCCAUGAUAUUAAAUAAUACAUCGAGUCUGGAGGAUAUCCAGCACAUGCCACCUGUGAUCAGAAGAGAACUAUUCGACGACUGACAAGCGGAUUUUUCUUAAGUGGAGGAAUUUUGUAUAAAAAGACUCCAGAUUUGGGACUUUUGAGGUGUGUAGAUGCUAAAGAGGCUUCAACUAUCAUGACUGAAAUACAUUCAGGAGUUUGUGGACCGCACAUGAACGGGUAUGUUUUGGCAAAGAAAAUACUUCGAGCAGGCUAUUAUUGGCUUACCAUGGAGCGGGAUUCCAUUCGUUUUGUUUGUAGGUGUCAUCAAUGCCAGGUACAUGGUGACUUGAUACAUUCUCCUCCUUCAAAAUGGCACACAAUGUCUGCUCCACGGCCUUUUGCAACUUGGGGGAUGGAUGUGAUCGGGCCAAUUGAGCCGAAAGUGUCAAAUGGGCAUAGGAUCAUUUUGGUGGCCAUCGAUUAUUUUACAAAGUGGGUGGAAGUAGUUACUCUCAAGUCGGUGACUAAAAAAGCCAUGGUGUAUUUUGUUCAUUCCAAUAUCAUUUGCAGGUUCGGAAUCCCGAGGACAAUGAUUACAGAUAAUGCGACGAAUCUCAACAGUCAUUUGAUGCACGAGGUAUGUCAGCAGUUUAAGAUUACACAUCGAAAUUCAACUCCAUAUCAUCCGAAGGCAAAUAGGGUCGUAGAAGCUGCUAAUAAAAACAUCAAAAAGAUACUCCGCAAAAUGGUGCAAGGUUCUAGACAAUGGCAUGAAAAGUUGCCUUUUGCUUUAUUGGGUUAUCACACAACUGUUCGCACUUCAGUUGGUGCAACUCCUUAUUUGUUGGUAUAUGGGACCGAAGCGGUUAUACCUGCAGAAGUUGAAAUCCCGUCCCUUCGAAUCAUUGAGGAAGCUGGAAUUGAUGAUGAGUGGGUCAAAACCCAUUUGUAGCAAUUGAGUCUGAUUGACGAAAAGAUAUUAACAUCGGUAUGUCAUGGUCAACUGUAUCAAAGAAGGAUAGCACGAGCAUACAACAAAAAGGUGCAUCCCAAACAUUUUGAAGUGGGUAAAUUAGUGUUAAAGAGGAUUCUUCCACACCAAGCCGAGGCCAAAGGAAAGUUGAUCCCAAAUUGGCAGGCGCCAUUCGUAGCGAAGAAUCUUUUGCCCAAUGGUGCUUUGUAUCUGACAGACAUAGAAGGCAAAAUGUCUGAAAUGGCCAUCAACACAGAUGUAGUGAAAAGAUAUUAUUUAUGAUUUUCAUUUCCCCACCUUGGGAUUACUUGCUUAGCGCUUGAUAUUUUUAAAGGUUGAUAUGACGAAGGCAUUUUAUUCUGAUACCUAUACCUUGUGCCAUCCCUUGCUACCCUUUUGAGCCGUAGUCUAUUUUUCUUUCGUAACCCUCGUCUGGAAUCAAGUUUUUCAAAAAAAAAAAAAAAACAAACAAACAACAGCAAAAAAUAGGACAAUCGCCUGAACAACGUUUGACCUGAUUCUUAUCUAAGCAAGAUACGCAGGCAGCCCUAUUUUGGGUUCGAUCCAACCAAAGAAAAUCCAAAAUAAUAUCAAAGAAAUUGGGACAGAAGUUAUUGUUUUCUUUUUUAGUCGAUUCCAAAGGUUGUAAGUCUCAUCCCUUGUUAUUUUGGUAUUAUUUUUGUGUUGUCUUCGAGCCUCCAUGUCAUCCUUUCUUUCCAACCCUAUCCAAAAGACACAUUACAAUCAAAGAAAAGACCUUCAAAUCAAUCAUUGAGAAUUUCAAGGCUGAGCAGUCUAUCAGUAUUGGGCAUGUGCAUCAUUGACAUCACUUAUGGCAUCGGCACAGGAAAAUGGAAGAAAAAAUGAACAUGAGAGAGUCCUAUUGGUGAAAACCCUCACGGGCACCGUAGGGCGAUGGUGAGAUGAAAAAAUUGAAAAUGAGAGUCUUAUUGGUGAAAACUCUCACGGACACCGUAAGGUGAGGGCGAGUUGAGAGAAUUAAAAAUGAGAGAACUUUAUUGGUGAAAACCCUCACGAGCAUCGUAAGGCGAUGGUGAGAUGAAAAAUAAAAGUGAGAGAGUCUUACUGGUGAAAACCCUCACGGGCACUGUAAGGCGAUGGUGAUUUGAGAGAAUUGAGAAUGAGAGAGACUUGUUGGUAAGAACCCUUCGGGCGCCACUAGUUAAAUGAAGGCCUUGAUUUUGACGCAGUUGUUAGGUGGAGACAUUCAGUUUCUAUGUCAAAGGGUUAAUAAGAUUUUAUGAAUAGUUAGGAUGAACAAAUCAGACUGAUUAAGCCAAAAUGCAUGUCAUAAUCAUUAGAGCUGGCUACUACAUUCAGAUAAGUUUUCCCCUUUCUUUUCUUUUUCGGAGGGGACAUCCUUUUGUUAACCUCUUUUCAUCUUUAUCUUUUAUUUUUCUUUCAUCAUUUGGAUUUCAUGUUUUUCCUUUGAGUUAGUCUGUUGCGAGAUAAGGGAGAAAGGAUCACAAAACUUGCUACCAGUUUUUCAAUUGCGAAGCAAAACAUCUUGGCUAGCACAUGAAGGUAACAUAAUUCAGUUGGCAUAAGGUACUCAAUCAGCUGUCAACCGUUAAUGGGUUCUGGAUUCAUUGAAAUACAAUGUUCAAUAAAGUUUGAGUUAACGGGCAUUACAAAACAAGAGAUUUAUGGUAUGGUGUUGAAGUUACUUCUGAGACAUUUUUGGCAGCCAUGUUUGAGUCAGUAAUACCGUAGGUCAACAGGAUGCAAUAACUGUCUAAAAGCGGAGCCAAGCAGGAUGAGUGCAAAAGCAGUUGCUUUCACAGCCAAGACACAAACCAACCACAAAGUUUUGAAACUCACAAAAAUUUUCUUUGUUUGAAACAAGGGUAGAAAUUUUAUUCGCUAACUGCAGGUACAUUCUGGAAAAUUCAAGGCGCAAGUAUUGCAAGAAUCAAAAUUAGGACACUCCUAGAUAAUGAAAUUUUAUUUAUCAGGAUCCUUCUGAAAAAUGGGAUCGAGGUUAUCAGGAUCCUCUUGGAAAAUGGGAUUUAGCUAUCAGGACCCUCAUAGAAAAUGAGAUUUAGUUUAUUAGGACCCUCCUGGAAAAUGGGAUUUAGCUGUCAGGACCCUUCUGGAAAAUGGUAUUUAGUUUGUCAGGACCCUCCUGGAAAAUGAGAUUUAGUUGUCAGGACCCUCUUGGAAAAUGAGAUUUAGCUUGUCAGGACCCUUCUGGAAAAUGCGAUUUAGUUUGUCAGGACCCUCCUGGAAAAUGGGAUUUAGUUUGUCAGGACCCUCCUGGAAAAUGAGAUGUAGUUUAUCAGGAUCCUCCUGGAAAAUGGGAUUUAGUUAUCAGCACCCUCCUGGAUAAUGGGAUUUAGUUUAUCAGGACCCUCCUGGAAAAUGGGAUUUAGAUAGCAGGACCCUCCUGGAAGAUGGGAUUUAGUUAUCAGGAGCCUCCUAGAAAAUGGGAUUUUAUUUAGCAGGACCCUCCGGAAAAAUGAGAUUUAGUUUCUCAGGACCCUCCUGAAAAAUGGAAUUUAGUUUCUUAGGACCCUCAUGCAAAAUGGGAUUUUAUUUAUCAGGACCCUCCUAGAAAAUGGGAUUUAGUUUAUCAGGACCCUUCUGGAAAUGGGAUUUAGUUAUCAAGACCCUCUUGGAUAAUGAGAUUUAGUUUAUCAGGACCUUCCUGGAAAAUGGGAAUUAGUUAUCAGGACACUCCUGGAAAAUGGGAUUUAGCUUGUCAGGAUCCUCCUGGAAAUGGAAUUUACGUUAUCAAGACCCUCCUAGAAAAUGGGAUUUACUUUAUCAGGAACUUUCUGGAAAACGGGAUUUAGUUAUUAGGACCCACCUGGAAAAUGGGAUUUAGUUUAUCUGGACCCACCUGGAAAAUGUGAUUUAGUUUUUCAGGACCCUCCUGGAAAAUGGGAUUUAGUUUAUCAGGACCCACUCGGAAAAUGAGAUUUAGUUAUCAGGACCCUCUUGGAAAAUGGGAUUUAGUUAUCAGGACCCUCUUGGAAAAUGAGAUUUAGUUAUCAGGACCAUCCUUGAAAAUGGGAUUUCGUUAUCAGGACCCUCCUGGAAAAUGUGCUUUACUUUAUCAGGACCCUCUUGGAUAAUGGGAUUUAGUUUAUCAGGACCCUCCUGGAAAAUGAGAUUUAGUUUAUUAGGACCCACCUGGAAAAUGAGAUUUAGUUAUCAGGACCGUCCUGGAAAAUGGGAUUUAGUUAUUAGGACCCUCUGGGAAAAUGGGAUUUGGUUAUCAGGAUCAUCCUGGAAAAUGGGAUUUCGUUAUCAGGACCCUCCUAGAUAAAGGGAUUUACUUUAUCAGGACCCUCUUGGAUAAUGGGAUUUAGUUUAAUCAGGAGACGCACUUCCUAAUUGUAGCAUUUGAUUUUACUUUCAUAAUGAAAUUAUUUUAUAGUUUAUAAUUUUGCUAACACUCACCAAAAAAUUUCUGGUGCAAACUGGGAUAGAAAAUUUUUGUUCGUGUUAUUUGUUUUGAUAAUUUAUAAGGUUCGCCUGGAGAAUAGGGAUAAUUUUCAAUUUCAAGCUCAGGAGCCCGCCUGAAGCAUAGGGUGUACUUUCAGUUGGUUUCGAGUUCAGUCAGAAGUAGCAGGAGCCCCGCCUGGAGAAUAGGGAUGACUUUAAGUUUUAAGUUCAGAAACAAGCAUGAAGAUUCAAGUCAAGAUUCAAGAGAAGCUGCAUAGAUAGGGUCUUGUACUUGUUUUUUCUUUUUAACUUUUAUUUUUCAUUUUGAUGAAAUAACAGGAGCCGCGGACCGGAACCUCGACAGGACCUCAAUCGACUCCCCAACUCGGUAUGUUUCAUCACCCUUCUUACCUCUUGAACUACACGAGACCAGAUUCCCUUAUAACCCGGGAUAUGUAGGAUGCCCAACACCAGGGUUCGGUCACAUUUUUGUUCCAUUCCUUUCUCUUCCUCCAAAAAAUGGUCGGGUUCAAAUUUGUCUCAUUGUCUACGUCUCUGUCCGAGAACUCUUCGCGUCCACAACCAAAGAGGGACAGGCUGUAGACACGUAAUAUUUACCCUCCCCGAGUGUUUCACAUUAUAGUUUUUAAAUAUUUCUUUUAAUUUUAAUUUUUGAUGUGUGGAUUUUAUUCUAUUUUUAUUUAGUAGGUUUACUUUGCGAGAAUCGAAAAAAAAAUAUUUAGUAUUUUUAGAGUAUAAGUCGGGUGUUUCAAAAGAAUUAAAAAAUUUACAAAAAUAUGUUUCUAAGGAUUUAUUUUCAUUAGCAAAUUACUUUCUUGUAAAUAGUAUAUUUUUCUGUCUAGGAAUAGUUAUUAAAUACUUCUUAUUUUUUGUAUUUAAGUAAAAGGUAAAUGAAAAAAUAUAUGGCAAAAAGGGAGAAUUUUUUUCAAGGAAGGGAAUCUUUUCCGUUGGACAUAUACACAUCACACAAAAGGACAAGAAAGAAAAACAUAUUUUUUUUUAAAAAAAAAAGGGAGAGGAGACACGUGACAAAAUUGGAGGGGUAUUAGUUUUGGGGUGAUCCCCAUAAUAAUUUUUGAUAGAAAAAGGCACACAUACUGAACAUAGAAAAGGGAGGAAUCAUUUAGAGAAAUAUAGAGAUAGAGACAGAGACGGACCCACAGCAAAAAAUAUCCUCAUCAUCAUCUUCUUAAAUUUUUUUAUUCACCUUAAGCACAUACUCCAUUUUGAAGGCUCUGUUUUCGUUUCCUCCACACUAGACACAUACUCAUCUCCAUCAUUUUCCAUUUUUACAUUUUAACACCCAAAUCACAAAACCACUGUGAACCACCCAGAAACCGAGCAACCCAGUUCCACCGUGGAACACCCACCUGCUCCAUCACCAUUUACACCAUUGUCAACAUUUCCCAACAACACCUCUCAAAAACCCAAAAUAAACCAUCAAUGAAAUCCCCAAAAACAGUUAUGAAAGCCCAUAAAUUCAACCCUUCGUCUCUAUUUUUAACUUGAUUUCCAGUUAGAUUUGGGUGUUUGUUCGCUGAGAUUGUAGUUUUCCGUCGAGGUUUUCAUGUCGUGGCUCUCGAUUUUUGGGGCUCUUAGUUGAUUUUUCCAUUCACUGGUUCUGUAUCGACGAUUUCAUUCGUGGAUCAGACCUUUGCUUGAAGGUUUCGUAUUGAUCGAAUUUCUUGGAGGAAUAUUACACUAAAGGUAGACAGGGAGACGGAUCAGACCUGUAGGCUGCCUUCUCAGUGACUGUACAAGGCACUCCACUUGUUCUAGAGUUGCAGAUCAGCGUGGUAUGAUUCUUUUGUGUAUAUAUGGGCAUGGCGAGGUCCUGUCCCGUCCUUAUUACGUUAUGCAUUUCAUAAAGAGGCUCAUAGACAGAUAUGCACAUUAAGAUGUUCUAUGACCUUCUCGGUCCAUAUUUUGUUGCAUCACUUUGACAGCCUUGUCGGCUUGUGUAUACGGGCACAGUUUGAUGA